rnacentral:rRNA from 1 species
AAGAGACAGCAGCCGCCGCGGGAAUACGUAGGUGGCAAGCGUUGUCCGGAAUUAUUGGGCGUAAAGGGCUCGCAGGCGGUUUCUUAAGUCUGAUGUGAAAGCCCCCGGCUCAACCGGGGAGGGUCAUUGGAAACUGGGAAACUUGAGUGCAGAAGAGGAGAGUGGAAUUCCACGUGUAGCGGUGAAAUGUGUAGAGAUGUGGAGGAACACCAGUGGCGAAGGCGACUCUCUGGUCUGUAACUGACGCUGAGGAGCGAAAGCGUGGGGAGCGAACAGGAUUAGAUACCCCAGUAGUCCCUGUCUCUUAUAC